rnacentral:lncRNA from 1 species
UUGUGGAAUAACUGAAGUUUCCAUGAUUUACCUCUGUAAAAAGUUUAGGUCAUCAAGCAUACCAUAUCUUCACAGCUGCUUGUUUAUUUCUGUCAUUGUGAUUGUGUAUGUCUCAAAUCUACUAAAGCUGAGGUCUAAAUAAGUGAACAGAAUUGUUCAAUGAAUAAGAUUAUAUCAUUUUUUAAAUAAAGAGUAUUUAAUACUGUGGAUAUAUUGAUAGAACUGUUUUCUGAGUUGCAAUACAAUGUUAAUAAGAGGUGACAUACAUCUAUGAUGUUUCAUAAUGGAGGUUAUGAUAUAGUCUAUUUACAAAAUUUGAAAAUCAAACUAAAACUCACAUGCACAUUUGUUAAGAAUGUGCUAUCAGUUCAAAACUCUAAGACAACUAACAGGUAGUGAUUACAUAUGAAUCUUGAAACAGAGAAUUAUAGCAAAUUUAAAAAUUAGAACUUCAUUAUACUGGUAUCAUGUAUAUGGAUACAAAUUUACAUGUGAAAGUUCAUUACCCCUGGAUUACUCUCACCCAAAAGGUUUCAAUUUUAUAAUGAUUCGUGUUGUAGCCAUUAAGUAAAAUCUUUCACAUGCCUUCCCUGAAUGCCUUUUUUGGACUGAGUCCACCUUGAAUAAAACUAAAGAAAGUAAAAAGAGCAGUACAGGGUGACUUUGUUCUCACAGUGACAGAUGGAAAACUGAAACUAUGCACAUCUAUAAAAGACUUCAGCACUUCUAGAAGUAAGGUGUUUUUUUCCCCCAAAGGAGGUCAACAAUUAGUUUUUAAAUCAAAUGGAAUUAUAUCUUCAAAACAUGCUGCUUUACAUUUUCUUUCUCACUCUUCCCACUCUCUACUCUUUUAAAUAAUGAAAGAGCACAGAAUUUUAAUUUUCUCAUGGAGAGAAAGUAACAAAUAUUUACUAUUGGUGAAGCUGGGAUUGUUUUUAAGAGAGAGAAUGGUUUCACAUUUCUAAUGUGCUAAUGGACUAAUCUAUGAAACAGAUCUGAGUCUGUUUUUUAAUAUCUGCUUUAAUGAAAUAAUUUUAUUAUGGGAGUAAAGAUAAGAGGGAAAGAGAUUAACAUCAGGUAUAAUUAGGUUUUCAGGCUUAUCAAGCAUUUAGAUGCUUAUCAAGCAUUAGAGAUGAUAGCACUUCUAAAAUUUUUUGAUCAGCUCUUAAAUUCCUUUGUCAGUUGC